AUCAGCAUGCUGCGGUGAAUACGUUCCCGGGCCUUGUACACACCGCCCGUCACACCAUGGGAGUCGGUAACACCCGAAGUCGGUAGCCUAACCGUAAGGAGGGCGCUGCCGAAGGUGGGAUUGAUGACUGGGGUGAAGUCGUAACAAGGUAGC
rnacentral:rRNA from 1 species